rnacentral:rRNA from 1 species
UACGGGGGGGGCAAGCGUUGUUCGGAAUUACUGGGCGUAAAGGGCGCGUAGGCGGCCUUCUAAGUCGAACGUGAAAUCCCCGAGCUCAACUCGGGAACUGCGUCCGAUACUGGCAGGCUUGAAUCCGGGAGAGGGAUGCGGAAUUCCAGGUGUAGCGGUGAAAUGCGUAGAUAUCUGGAGGAACACCGGUGGCGAAGGCGGCAUCCUGGACCGGCAUUGACGCUGAGGCGCGAAAGCCAGGGGAGCAAACGGG